CUGCCUCAGCCUCCCGAGUAGCUGGGACUACAGGCGCCCGCCAUCAUGCCCGGCUAAUUUUUGGUAUUUUUAGUAGAGACGGGGUUUCACCGUGUUAGCCAGGAUGGUCUCGAUUUCCUGACCUCGUGAUCCGCCCGCCUCGGCCUCCCGAAGUGCUGGGAUUACAGGCGUGAGCCACCGCGCCCGGCCCUUGCAGUGUCUUUUGAUGUGAGCUGGCAUGAUGGGGGUCCAGGCCUCAGUGUUCCUGGCCUGCUGCUCUGGGGGCAGGGGCUGGGAGGAAGGAAGGAGCUUGCUGAACUCCUAGCGACUGUCAUCUGGAAUAUCAUCUCUGAAACACAGAGUUGGGGGCAUAAGAAAUGCUGGUGGUCUACUCCUGGGGAGACACUGAAGCAUUUGGUUGGCAGCUGGAGUGAGAUCUUUCUCCCCCCACUCCCACCACCUGUGGAUUGGAAGAACAACUGCAGAGUUUCUCUAUUCUGGGACCUUCACGAUCAUCUUGAUGUUGUGAUCUGCUGACCUUCCUAAUUGUUGCUGAUCCGCUGAUCACCUCUCCUUCCCAUCCUGUGGACUUCAGGCUUUAAUUCAAGCUCUCCAGUUUCCAGCCUGCCUGUGGUCUUUCCUUCCUGGACACUGGCCCUGUGGACUUUCCGCUUGCUCAGCCAGUCCUUACAAUUGUAUAAUUUAUUGUAAUAGGUAAAUAAAUAAUCUAUAUCUACAUAUCUGUGCAUUUCUAUAUCCAUAGCUCUGUGUCUGCACAUAUCUCUCUAUCUCCUUAUGUAAAGUCUUCUACUGGUUCUGCUUCCUUGGUUGAAGCUCUUUU
rnacentral:lncRNA from 10 species